CGGUUCGGAAAUUAUACGAGCAUAAACAGAAAAAUGUGGUGCAUCUUCGACUUGAUGAGUCUUUAUAUUUCCAAAUGUAACGUACAUUUAAUCCGACAGGUAUUGGACAAAUGAAAAUUUCUUCUCGAACAUCAAUGGAAGUGGGGAUUCUUUUGACACGGCUAAUCUCGGGGGUUUCAAGACUUAGACGGUAGAAGACAUUUUCAAGGAACAAUCGGCGAUGUAAUAGUGGAUAUUAUGUAAAAAUGGAACCUUUUAAUUGGACCACUGUUAUUGACUAACAUUCAAUGUGAAAAGUAAUUUAAACAUAACCCGAACAAAGUGUAAUGCUGUAUUAACGGGUGACGUCAGUCAUCCAAAAUUGAAUUGAAUCAGGCAUACCAUAUUACUUCGUGAAAUGUGCGAUGCAUAAGAACUUCAUAUUGUUGUAAGAUUACGGACUAUUAUUCCUGGUGGAAUGCGAAUAUUGGCAGCUUGGAAGGAUUCGGCUCGGGACUGCGAGAACCAUUCGAUGUGUUUGUGAAGCUAGUGCCAGUGGAAGUUGGAAGUGUCGGA